CCUUCUGUGCUCACCCAUCGGCCACGCCAAGGGCUUCGUCUUCAUGUUCUCAUGCUGUCCUUUUAUGUGGUUGAUAAGUGGUGUCCCCAGUACUGAUGAAGAGCCCCGGGUGUGCCUUCUAUGGAAGGCCCCUGUUUCAGAGCCCCGCCCUGGGAUUCCAGCAGUGUCACCAAGGGACUGUCUGUGUGUCCAUUCGAUGCUCUUGGGCUUGAGCCUUUGUAGCUAAGCAGGGUAACAUGGAACUCCUGCUUAACUGGCGGAUUGUCCAGAGGCUGACCAAAAACAUCUGGAAGGUGCCCGGAGCUGUUGAGGGGCUCGGCGCCGGCCAAGCCCUGCUAGUGUGUUCUUUGAGCAGGUGGAUUUGCGGUGGGUUGGGGCUUUUGCUGUAAUGAUUAGGCUACCUGCCUGAAGAAGCCUGCUUUCUCAACCUGCUUUUCUUUGCUGGGCAGGAUGGUGUUCGGGGUGACCGUGCUGCCUCUGGCAGAAUCUAGUGGUACAGUUCAGGCUUGUCUUGCUAAUAAGACUCUCACUGAUUUGCAUUUCUCUGAAUAAAUCAUAAGAUUUAUGUUUGGCCACUGUGAUGUUUGGGUUUGAGAAUGGUCCAUGAUUCUUGUAUUUUUCCAGUUCAAAUGUAGCUCUCGUGCAGUUUUUGGUGGAUUAUAGCAUUUGAGCCUUUCAAAAAAAAAAAAUCUCAGUUAGGAGUUCCUGCUGUGGCACAGCGGGUUAAUGAUUGGCUUGUCUCUGUGGAGGUGCAGGUUCGAUGCCCAACCCGGCACAGUGGGUUAAGGAUCUGGCAUUGCUACGGCUGUAGGUCGAAGCUCUGGCUUGGAUUUGAUCCCUGGCCCGGGAACUCCCAUAUACUGUGGGGGCAGCUGAAAAAGGAAAAAAAAAAAUCCUGGUUAAUAAAAAUGAAUAUAUUUUCAGACACAAAGAUUAAUAUUCUUUCAGCUUUCCUAGAUUUUUUCUUGUAUACUUGAGAUAAUACAGAAUACAUGAAUAUACAAUGACACAGGAUCUUCUUUCACUGAAGGCUGUGUAGUUUAGAGUUUGGUGAUAUUUUGUUUAUUUUUUAUUAAGUAAUCUUUAAUGGUUUUGAUUGUGCACUGACACUGGUUAAAACUUUUGAGCAAAUUUCCUUGCCUGUGUAUAUUUAUAUACUGCAUUGCUGUACUGAUGCCUUAUAUACAUUAUAAAACCCCAAAGGAAAAGCUAAAGAGGGCUGGGCAUGUUGCGUUUUUGGAUGAACUACUCUCGGUCCCGCUGGAGCAGGAGCCUCUUCUUUGCGCUGCGUGUCAGCCCCGAGAUGUAUUCGGGCUGUUGCCCUCGCACCGCCCUCUCUCUCUCUUUCUAUGGAUCAUGUCCACGUGCUGCUGUUCUUCUCAUCUUAAGAAAAGCCUUCUUUGGAGUUCCCUUUAUGGCUCCGUGGUAAUGAGCCCAAUGACGACGAGGAUCCAUGAGGAUGCCAGGGAUGGAAGCCGUGUCCGCACAGACACUGUGUCGGGUUCUUAACCUGAUGAGCCACAGUGGAAACGCCAACCCUUUUUUUUUUCUUUUCAGGACAUGCAGUUAGUCCCAAUUUUGUACCUGCGAUUGUCAAGUGCGAAAACAGGGAGUAGCAGUUUAUCGGGGAAGGACCGAGUUUGGGGGAAGCCUCCUGAGAGGAGGAUGUCACUGGCUUGCCCGACACGGUGUUCGUGAGUCGGGGACAGGCCGUGUACCCCUGCACGGGCCCCGAGGUCCUACUCCGUAAAGUGGAGGUGAUGGUAGGCCGGCCUCCGGCGUGCGCGAGCACCAGGCCCGGCGCGUGCUGAGGGCUCUGGCUGGUUCAGGCCUUCCUUCCUCACGAGGAGGGUGCUGGUGGGGCGGCUUAGAGACAAGGGGCUUCCCGGUUUGGGGGCUUCGCCUUGUUUGAAGGCUCCCAGCGAGGUGAGCAGUGUCCAUGCCUGUUGGGGAUGAGAGCUGAGGCCUCAGGGCAGCCUCAGGAGGGGCCAGUCCCUUGGGAAGGGCGCUGCGCCAGGGGGAGGGGCUACUCUUCCUACCCCUCAUCUCCCGAAGCUGGGGUCCUUGGGGGUCAAGGGCGUGGGAGAGGAGGUCGAAGUCCUCCCGCGGGCCGGGGGAGAGGGCCCUGUCCUUGUGGUCAGCUGACAGGGCUCCAGCUUGGGCCUGAGCGGGUUCUCAAUCCACGGGCGGAGGGAGUCAUUCCACGGCGUCGCAUGGCUCUGUCGUCUUGGCCGAGGAGCGACGUUUACUCAGAAGGAAGGGUUCCUGCCAUUUUUUUAACUUGUUACUCGGUUCUGCGUGUGCGAGUGAAAGGAGACGGGGAGGUAAGACUUGGGGUGGGGGUGGCCGGCGGGGGCUCCUUCAUCUCUUUUUUGCCCAAAGGUGACAUGGUAGCUCCAGCCUAAGGGCCGGCGGGCGGUGCUCCGUCAGUGGCAGGGCGUUGGAUGGUUUUGAAGAUGAAGAGGUCAGCGUUAGCAUGUUGGCUCUUUCAAAGCAGCCCCCCAAAAGUUGUGCUGUGUUUCCAGUUCUGGGCUCAGCUGUCUGUUCAGCCUGCAGACAGUGGCUGGAAAUGCAUGAUCCGUGGUGGCGCGAAGGGCUGCGAGGCGCUGUCCAGGUCCACAAGAAGCUUUCUUGCAGUUAGGCUGUUUUAUAACUGUUCCCAAAUCAUGUUAGCGCUGGAAUCUAUUUUAGGAGCUCCUUUGGUUAUGAACCAUAUCUUAUAUUUAAUUUUGAUUCUCUUUCUCCUCCUGUCCUGGAUUCAGUUAGCCUCAUAUCCACAAACGCGGUGCGCCUGCCGUUGUCGUAGGUACCGGAGGUGCUUAGAGGAAUCAGAGAUGCUUGGUAGGAACGCGUAAAGCAUCUUGGGCCAGUUCCUGGAACAGGCACCCGAGGACGUUAGGCCCUCCCUGUGCCAUCAGCUCUUUCACGUCUCGGAGGAGCCCAUCGGUCUCUGUGAGGCGCCAGGCACUGAGGCAGAGACUUUGCUCCUCUUGCCCUUGGCCAGUGAGUGUUCUGCUAAUAGUAAGAAGUUCACCCCACCCACCCCACCCCAGGGGACUCCAUCCUUGCACCUGCCACCUGAGGGCUCUGACGGCCCUUUGCUCCUUUCUCUCAUCUGCUGUGUCUAGGAAGGAUGGCGCCUUUCUGCUCUUUGCUGAACUCACUUCUACAGCGAGCAGCCGGGGGGAGCCGCUAGAGUCCCUGGUCUGUGACUCUCUAGGAGAGGGUGGGUUGGACAGUCCUCCCACCACUGGUUUCUGGCUCCUCGUUCUCAGCCUCGCGUGGGGCCAGAAUGCCAAGAAAACCUCCUGGCUGAUGCCCGAGGUUCAGGAUCGACGUUGCACCAUUUUCAGCACAGGGCACGCCGCCCCAUCCUCUGGCCAGACGGUGUUUGUGAAAACACAGGUUGGCAGUCCCCUUGCUGUUUCUUGGGGACACUGUCCAGAAGUUGGAGAAAGAGGAGUAAAUUCACGUGUGACAGGUCUGGUUCACAGAGAGGAGCAUAGCGGGAAGCUCAGAGGACUGGUGCAUGCAGGGGGGGACUCAGACCGAGGGAGCCCAUUUCUGGUGAGUGUGCUGAGGCCGUGUUGACAGGGAGGCCUGACUGCCUGAUCAGCCGAUCAACAGGUAUUGAUCGCAGGCCCCUGGGAGCUUGGUGCUGGAGAGAACGAAUGGGGAAUUGGGAACCUGGCCCCGGCCUCGUCUUUGGAAAGUGCAGACUCUAGUUGGAGGCACAGAUGAGCAGAGGUGACGAGACAGGACAGCUGUUAGGAGCCUCUGACGUGUAGCACAGGUUGCACAUGCUGAUGGCGUUUGGAGAAGGGAAGGAGCAGCGUGCGUGGCUUGCCGUCCGCCCCGCCCGGGAAGGACCGGCGACUCAAGGUGGGUCUGCUGCUUCGUCCCCUAGAGACCACGGGUCUCGGGUCCUCAUCCAGGGUCAGCACACCAUCCCCCUGCAGGAGCUUGGCCAGGUGGAAAGAGUCCUUCCCGGGAGUCCUCAGGACAGCGGCACUGAGCUCCAGGGUCAGAGAACAGGGUUCAACUCCCAGCCGCAGGAAGUUGAGCAGAUUGAGAGACAUAAUUCAUGUGAAGCAUCCCGCUGAGUGUUUUUCAUAUAGAAAAAAAUUCAGCCAAGGCUUAUGGAUACGUUUGUUCCCAAGGUCACGAUGGAAAGAUUCCCGGGGAAGACGGCCCAGCAAGGUUUCCACGGCGGGGUGGGGAUGAGGGGGCAGGGCAGCCGCACCCGUGGGGUAAACCGGCGAGGGAGGCGGUGAGAGCCCUGCCGCGGUUCUGCGGUUCUGCCGGAGGCCCGUCUGCCGUUGUGCAGCUGCUCCGGCCACCUCUGGAGGGCGGCUGCAGCUCUUGAUCCCGGGGAGGAGGGAAGGUGUCAAGUGAGAGUGCGGUCCCAGGAGGGCUGCUGGCGGGGAGAAGGUAGAAGGCGCAGACCGACGUCCCCGAGCGGGCAGGCCCCGGCAGGCGGCAGGUGUGUGCUGGGCACAGCUGUAGGUACGGAAAGGACUGUCAUGCGAGGUGGGUGUCAGUCUCCCUCCGUGGCAGACAGCGAGGUGGGUGUCAGGCUCCCUCCGUGGCACUGCAGACAGCGGCCGGCCCUGUGGCCAGUGGGUGACCGUGACAGGGAGGCCCCUGUGGAUGCAGGGAGCUGGGUUAUUGUCCUACCGUCUGAGUGUGAAGAGCGAGGGCGAGCACACGGGUGACUCUCUGAGGACCUGGCUCCUUCACUGGGGCCCUUGGUGUUUACAAGUAAGUCGAAUGGCCGCCCCCCAGGAUGCCAGGAAUCAAAACACCUCCCGAAGGCUGGUUGUGUACCAGGCAGUGGUACCAGGUGCUUUACGUGUGUGGGCUCGUUGAAUCUCCUCCAACACUGGGCAGGGGUGUGAGCAGCUCAUCAGCCCUCCGUUAUAGGUGAGAAAACUUAGCUGAGCAGUGAAGUAGCCCACCCACCAUCCUGCACGCUGGCCACCAGCUCCAGGCCGGUCGUCUUCUUUUGGUGAGAGGGGUCGGGUGCCUACAGUCCCACGUUCCCAAAGGCUCCAUCGGGCGGGUCAUCUCAGCCCUCCUGGUGGGGUUGGGGCAGGGAUGGUGGUUGCUGCCCUCCCUGUGACUUCGCUGGGACUGGAGGUCAGUGGGAGGCUGGCUUUGCCAGCUGUUAGGAACUGGCCCUUCUGGGGAAGUGGCUGGGGAGUCCCCAGGCUUAGCCCCGGAUCUCACCUCCUCUUGUCUAGGGUCCCGUAGUCCUCUCGUGACUCCGGAUUCUCAGAAGCACCAGUGGUCCUGCUCCAAAUCCCUGAGUGUUGCCAGCGCACUCAGUGUCCCCCGUGUCCUUGGCUCUGUCGCUCCAGAAGGGCACAGAGCACUGUCUAGGGGCCACGCCCUGGAGGGGUCAGGACUUGAGCUGCCUUGGGUAGGGGCCGAGGUGGGAUCACGGAGCCCCCUGUCCCCUGCUGUCCUGGUUGCCCCGUCCUCCAGCCUCUGGUGAGCAGGAAGGCCUCUGCCAGCCACGGGCAGGCUUCUCUGAGGAGGGCCCAGCACCGCGUCCGACACGCCGUCAGGCUCAGACGCAUUUUUUGGAUGAAUAAGUGGCCCAUCCUUGGAGGACUCGGCUGCCUUCUCAGAGCUCCCCCUGGGCCCUGAGGACUUGGUGGAUUUUAGGGGGACGGUGUUGGAGGGUGCUGGGGUGCUCCUUCCCCGAUGACAUGGCAUUGUGAGAGGGCCUUUCCGCAUCAUCUUUUGUGUUGGGAGGCGGAGCUCUUACUGCUGCACCGCUUUGGGGGGCAGCACACCCCCCUCCUCAGAGGCCUGAGCCGGAUCCCAGCCCGAGAAUAGCGGCUGCCGGCGGGGGCCAGAGGGCUUCAGAGAUUCGCACCGCCCAGGGUUGUUCCGGCACCUCCCUCUGUAAGUGAAGCAGUCCCGGGACUGCCUCUCACUGAGCGCGUGACUCUGGUCAUCAGCCCUCCCUACUCUGGAGCUCUGUCCACAGAGGGUGGACUCGUGUCACCAAAAGUUUGGUGAAUCUCACUUCUAAGGCUUCAUCUGAUGAAAAUAACCU
rnacentral:lncRNA from 9 species